CUCCAUCAAAUCACCAACUACCACCCAAAACCCUUUCUUCCUCCUCUCCUCUUGGCCGACUUCCCCUCCCCCAUUUCUCACCAAAAAUUUCAGCUCCUUGUCUUCCAUUUUUGCUUCAAGAAAACACUCCAAACUUGCUUCUUUUCUUGGUUCAUCAUACAAGCUUGAAGGGUGGCUUGAAGGAGGAAGGAACUUUAGUGGUUUAAGAGCUUAUAUACUGGUGGUUGGUCUUCAUUCUUGGAAGCAAGGUAACCCUCAAAGUUCUCAUCUUUUUCCUCUCAAAUCAUAGUAGUUAGUUAGUUCUAUCUAGUUAGUUUUUAGGUUGUUGAUGGGUUCACAAGAACCUUGACACUAGAUAGAGGACUUAAGGUGGCUUUAUAAGUAGAGGCCUUAAGGAUUUUGUAUGUUUACUUGCUUGUUUGAUGCUUGUUUUGAUGGAUUAUGGCUUAGUUUUGGUUGGAAAGUUGAAAAGAAAACUUGAAGAAUGGAUGAUGCUUGCUGUCCGAAUUUUGGCUGGAUGAAUCUCUCAUGUUAAUUUCGAAUUUUGAUGUUAUUUUGGUCCUAUAAUGCUUGAUAUAUGUUGAUGUUUAUGUGUGUUAAAUAUCUCCCAAAAAGCUUUUCAAUUGGUUGAGUUAAAGUAAGGGAAAGUGAGGUUUGCAAAUCUGUAAAAUUUUCUGAUCAGGAGACCAGACCAGUGUUCAUGUUUUGGCCCAUAACUUUUAGUUUGGGAGUUGAAAUCAGGUUCCGUUUGCGGCAUUUGAAACUAGACUCCGAUCGCUUUCCAACGGUAUAAAAUGCAUCACCUAAUUCAUUUUCUAUGAGCCAUAGUGAACCGGCAAAGAUGACUGAUUUUCCUCACUGCUUUCAUCCGAGAAACAAGCAUAGCUGCAAUUUGUAGCUCAUUUUCACCUAUCUUGCAAAAUGAAUUUUAAGAAAGUUCCUUCAAGUGAAUUUAGCAUUUUGAAUCUAGUUUUCAACGCCGCAAACCAUGCUAAAUUUUGAGUUGUGUAGUUUUAUUUAUGACCACAUUUUGAAACCCUGUCAAGUACUUCAAAACUGGAAAUUUCGUGAAACAGAUUCUAAAAGUCAGCUUUCUUAAAACUGUUGUAUCUUGGUGUAGAAAGGUCCGAAUUGAGUUUCGUUUAUUAUAUUUGAAACUAGAUUUGAAUUUCUAUUAGUAGUAUAAAUUUCAAGGGCUGAUUCUAUUUCUAUAAAUUUUUUUGAAUUUUCAAAAUUUACUGAAUUUGCAAGCCUGUUUUGCUCUGUCCUAUCUGGAACAGUGACUUUGAGCUAAGAUUUGAAUUUUGGAUUGGAGUCUGGGAAAAAUGUCUUCUAGAGAGUUUUAGUGCAUUGAAACUAGUUUCCAACGGUAUAAAGUUUUCAAAUUUUGGACUUACGAAACUUGAGAUAUGAUUUUUCCAAGUAGUGUCGCACCAAACUGGAAAUUUUCUGGUUUCAAACAAAGUACUCUUUUAAGAACUUUCAACCUUUCUUUGAGAUUGUUGGUCCGUUUUGAGUUUAAUUUCAUGGUUGGAUAUAAGGUCUCUUUGAACAUUAGCCCUUCAUUUUGAAUCUUGAUUUCCAAAGGCUUAAACUUCUCUUAAUGUGUUUCUUGGUUGCUUAACUUUGUUCGACAAUUGCAUCCCACCUUAUACUUGAGAAAUGGAUUUCAAACCCUAGUUUUAUGCCCUUGUUUUCCAUGAGUUUGAGCUCUAAAAAUGGAACGUUUUAACUAAAAGUGUAAGGAUCGAAGACAACCUAAGAGGGGGGUGAAUUUGGUAAAUUAAAAAACUAAUCAGGUUAUGAGACACUUUUUGGUUAAAUAUGAAAUUUACCCUCUUUUCUAGAUGACCACUCAAUGGAACAGUUAACAAGAAACCAAGAUUGCUUGUGAGUAGAAGAGAUGAGCAAUUUAUAUUUGCAAGACAGUAAGUAAUAGGAAAAGAAUCGCAAACCAAAUUCCAAACUCCUCUUGAGUUUGAAUGUUACUUUAUAGAGUAAGUUUCUUCAAGUUGAUCAAAUGCAACCAAUCUUUGUGUACAAAGGAAUGAUCACUUCCUCCUUGCCCCAAGCCACACUUGGUCAAGUUAAGAAGUUUUACUAUCACUCGGAUAACCCUCACAAAUCUACACUACUGAAGUAUUUUUCUCACACAAGAAAAGCUUAUACGAAAUUCACAUAACUAAGAGUACAAAUCUUCUUUGAAGAGAAUUUUCUCACUAAGAUUGCUCUAAAUCUUUUGUAGUCUCAAUGUGCAAAAGUACUUUGAACUAGUUGAUCAUGCUUUAUUUAUAUGAGAUCAAAAAAUUCUUCUAUUAAUGCUUCCAACGGAUAGAAGGUAGUUGAAGAGUCAACUAAUCGUUGGUAGUGUCGGACGUCCGGUAGUCUUAUUUCUUUCGUCCAACAGUAGGCAGUGAGCUUGAGAGAUUUUCUUCAAUUCUUUCGGAUGCCCGAUACCUUCAAUGUUUGCGUGCAAAAGCAGAUAGUGAAACUGAGAGAUCUUCUUCAAGCCUUUCGGACGUUUGGUACUUCCAAUGCUUUGCGUCUGAAGUGCCGCAUUAUUUAUCAGACGUCCGGUGCUCUUAUGUUUUGCGUCCGAUCGAGGUCAGUGAGGUUAGAGGAAAUGUUUUAAUUCCUUCAGACGUCCGGUGGUUAGUUCAUCAUGCGUCCGAAGUUGCGCAAUGAUUAUCGGACGUCCGAUCCAGUCUUCACAAGCGUCCAACAGCUUUCAGUACCCUUUGUCUCUUUCAAUUGUACUUAAUCUUUGAACCUGAUUUACUUCAUAGCUGAAAAGAUCUUUGAGGAGAUAUUAGUAAUAUCCAUUUGUUUUGUAAACAUCAAAAGCUAGAGACUAAGAUUAACGAUCUCCCCCUUUUUGAUGAUGACAAAACAAUGGAUGGAGGAAAAAUAAUUGAACCAAAACUCCCCCUCACUUAAUGCAUUCAAAAAGUUUUUAAGUGCUAACUCUCCUUCAGGAUAACUCCUCCUUACACAUUUACCAGUUUAUACUUUCUGGCAUUCCAACAUAAUCUCAACAACAUCUAUUCAAUCAACAUCCAUUUCUCCCCUUUUUUGUCAUCAUUAGAUGAUCUUAAAAAUAAUGGCAGCAAUCCAAUAUCAGAAAUCAACAUCAGAAAUCAUACAAUCAACAACCAGUCAACAUAUCCAAUACAAUAUAUCCAAUAUGUUCAAUCCAAUCAAUCAACAAUGGUAGAAAAUAUCCAAUCUAAUAUACCACAACAUACCAGAAAUGCAAUCCAAACACACGCACAAAAAAUUAAUAUGAGAAAUCAAGAGAGGUAUCAAAUAGAGAAAUACUAUAGCAAACUAACCAGAAACCAUUAAAGUUAACCAAUAUCCAUAGUACAGAGUACUUGAAAUGUCAAAAUACAAAAGAUACAAAUAUCUACUACGAAAUGCCAUCCUAGAAAUGAAGUGCAAGUGCCUAAAAUUGCCUAAAUGAUGAUCUUGGACGAUCCAGGCCUCCUCAUUGCUAGGCGAAACUGAGCAGGAUCCAUUUCUUCUUCAGUUUCCUCAUCAUCAUCACUGGCUUCAGUUGCAGGAGCCUUGCCCUUAUCUUGUGGCUGAGAACCUGAGGCAUGAACUUCAGGAGUGGACUCAGUAUGGGGCCCUUUGUCUUGUAGGAUAGGGAUGGAUUCAGUUGGCUCAGUCCGAGGCUCCUUCUAAUGUAUAUUUUCAUCUUCUUGAGGGAUAGGAGGUACAAGCAAAUUGUUUUUGUCAAUGAAGGUGGUUUGUUGCUCAGGUGACAUAGUCAUCAUCAAACCAUCUUCAAGAAGGAGAAUGUGUUGUUUAAGCUCCUCAAGCAAGGAGAUGACCUCAUGAGUGGAUGAGGAAGGCUGAGUUGAUGAUUUUUUGGGAUGGAUGGUGAAGGGUGAAACAUAUUGAUACUGAUCUCGGGGAGUUCUAGGGGUGACAGGGAUUUCAUGACGACUCUUUGUCCUAAACUCCAAAGCAGACUCCUUGUAGCACCAUGACCAUCAAAGAAUCUAAGAUUUUUUUCUUUCAAAAUAAGCUUUUGAAAAGAUGGUAGAUGCAUUCUCUUUUGGUAACAUUCCAGUGAAAGAAAUCUUAAAGUGAGCAAAGAUUGGAGUUAAAAAUUUUUCAUAAGAAAGAUUCCUACGGCUAUCAGUGCUGAUUUUGAGCAAGAAUUUACACAUAACAAAGUCGAAAUCAAUUCAGAUCUUUUCAAGAAAGCAAUAAAACAAGUAAAACUCUAUUUUGUUGGCAUCUGUCCUAUGACCAUCAGUAGGAACCAACAAAUUUGAAAUUAUUGAAAAGAUGAUCAAAUUUUGGGGAUUGAGAUCCUCCAAUUUUGCCUCAACAGGAGUGUUACAGUGUGUUUAAAAAUAAGUCAUCAAUUUUACAACAUGAAAAUAUUGAUAGGCAGAAGGAAACUCUUCAUAAGAGAAAAAGUUUAUAAUUUUUCCUUUAAAACCAUCUUCAAUUUUGGUCUUUAAAAUAGUAUUAACAAUGUCAGGAUUGAAAGCAAUAUCAACUGAAUUGACUCGAGAAUCAAGAUCAGUGUGUGAGCUACCCUUCCUAAGGUUAGCAAAGAAUUGAUGAAGCAUAUCAAGAUAAUAAAUGUUGGGAAUGGACAGAAUGUGAGUCCAUUUUUGGAAUUCAAAAAACUUAAGAAUUGGUUCAAGGUCAAGCUUAAGGAAUUCAUAAGGGAUAAUGGUCCUCUGAGUGAUGAAACCCUUCUGUGAAUCUAUUCAAACUUCUCCCUGGCAUCAUCAUCAAUAAAUUUAGGAAAUGGCGUAGGCUCUUCUUCAGUUUGAGUGUCAGGUUGCAUUUUGGCAGGGCAUUUCCUCUUUCCACCGCGUUGAGCAGCAGUUGGUACCUCAGUCCUUGUUCUUGGUGAUUUCCUAGUGGAAGGCUCAACAAAUGGCUUAACAGAAGGCUCGGUAGUUUGCUAUUCCUCAGUUUGAGCAGUUCGUUUCUUUCUGGCAGACUAUUUUCUUCUUUUAUCUGGAGUUUCCGUUCCUUGUCUGGGUGAUUUCGUGGUGGAAGGCUUGACAAUUUCAAUGUCUUCAUCUCUUAGCCUAGUAGUGCGUCCGGCACCAGCAGAUCCUUCUCUCACUCUAACCAUGGUGAUAUGCAAGGUGUUUUUGAUGCAGAGUGUAAUGAAAAAGUGUAUAAGAUGAACUAAGAUUGCAGUAUGGACUACAAUGUAUGCUUGAAUCUUCCAAAAAGAGUGAAUUUUGAGUGACUAGGGUUUCGGCUGAGAAUAGAGAUCUGUGGAAUGGUUGGCAGUUGGAGGAAGCUAUGAAUGCCAAUGAAAGCACAAAAGAGGUGUGAUGGUAAUGAAGAGAUCAAUUUCUUGGAACUUGUUCAGAGGAGAGAUGAAUUUGAAAUUUAAAAAUGGGAGAAGGGGAAAAUGUGCGUCCAAGACCAACGGUUGAAUAUGAACUAAAUGAAGGAGAGGACUGCUUUAUAAUACGCCUCUUUUGGGUGUCGGAUGGCCAAACGAAGAGAAGAGUCCGACACUCCAAUCCGAACCAAAAUUUUUCUGAAAAAAUGACUAAGAACACUGUCGGACAACCAUUCUAAUGCAUCGGACGUCCAAUAAAAUGUGACCAAAGGAUUUCUUAAAAAUCUUUUCUGAAACGCCCAAUUUUGUUCUAAAAAAUACAAAUUGAUCUAGUAGUAAGGCUUUUGUAAGAAUAUCAGCAAUUUGAUCUUUUGAGCAAACAUAUUGUACACAAAUUUCAUCCUUUUGGACAAAAUCACGAAUGAAAUGAUGCUUUAUGUCUAUAUUCUUUGUCCUAGAAUGUUGAAUGGGAUUUUUUAUCAAAGCUAUGGCACUUGUAUUAUCACAAUAUACAGGCACACAGUCAUACUCCAAUCCAUAAUCAUUUAAAGUACUUUUCAUCCAUAUCAAUUGAGCACAACAUACACCAGCAGCCAACAUAUUCCGCUUCGAUCGUAAACAAGGAGAUAGCAUUUUGUUUCUUACUAAGCCAUGACACUAGACAAUUCCAAAAAAGUGACAUGUACCACUUAUACUUUUUCUAUCUAUCCUACAUCCACCAAAAUCAGCAUCCGAAAAAUCACAUAAAGGAAAUUUAUGACAUCUCGGAUACCAAAGACCAUAGUUCAAGGUUCCCUUCAAAUAUCUAAGAAUUCUUUUCACAGCAAUCAAAUGAGAUUCUUUUGGACAAGAUUAGAAACGAGCACACAAGCAAACAAUGAACAUAAUAUCAGGUCUACUUGCGAUUAAAUAGAGUAAGCUACCAAUCAUACCUCUAUACUUCUUUUCAUCAACUUUUAUACCUUCUUCAUCCUUGUCAAAUUUGGUAGAUGUACACAUGGAUGUUCCAACUUGCUUUGAAUCCUCCAUUUCAAAUCUUUUGAGCACCUCCUUGGUGUAUUUAGCUUGUUUGAUGAACGUACCUUCUCGAGUUUGAACCACUUGGAACCCAAGGAAGAAAUUCAAUUCUCCCAUCAUACUCAUCUCAAACUCUUUUUGCAUAAUAGUAAAAAAAUCCUUGCACAAGCACUCAUUAGUGGCACCAAAGAUAAUAUCAUCCACAUAUAUUUGCACAAUUAAAAGGUCAUUUGAACUUUGUUUAGUGAAAAGAGUGGUAUCAACAAUACCUCUUCUAAAAUUAUUUUCAAUCAAAAAAUCGUUUAAACGUUCAUACCAUACUCUUGGAACUUGUUUCAAUCCAUACAACGCUUUUGAGAGUUUAAACACAUUAUUUGGAUAUGUCUCAUUUUCAAAACCGGAAGGUUAGUCAACAUAAAUCUCUUGAUCAAUAAAACCAUUUAAGAAAGCACUUUUAACAUCCAUUUGAAAUAAUUUAAAAUCCUGGUAACAUGCAAAUGCCAAGAAUAUUCUAAUUGAUUCUAACCUAGCUACGGGAGCAAAUGUUUCAUCAAAAUCUAUUCUUUCUUCUUGAGUAUUCCCCUUAGUUACAAGUCUAUCCUUAUUUCUCACAACUUCACCUUUGUCAUUCAUUCUUUUUCUCUUGAAGAUAAUAUUAAAUUUUGAAUAAAAAACAAGACAUUCAUGCUUUUGGAAUAACACAAAAGGAUUUCUAUCACACAAUUGACUAACACUUAACAAGUUAUAACUCAAAUUAUCAACUAGAAGAAUAUUGUGAACAAAAAUUUGAUCAUUCUUACCAAUAUCUCCUACUCCAACUGUUUUGGCUUUAUUAUCAUCUCCAAAUGUCAUUUUUUCACUUGAUUUUGGUUUGAACUUGAUGAAUUGUGAUGGAUCACCGGUCAUGUGCCUUAAAUAUCCACUAUCUAUAAACCAUUUUGAUUCCUUAAAAAUAUUCACCAAGUUCACCUACACAAAAAUUCACAAGAUAAUAUUUGGUACUCUUUACUUUUUGGAUUCUUGAGAGUUAGUAUUAUAUCUAACUAUCCAUAUGCAUUUCAUGUCAUUUUUCAUAUUCUUCCUUACAUAGCAAUUACUCUUCAUGUGACCAAUUUGGCAAUAAAAACUACACAUAGUCAACGAAUUACUUGCAUGGAUAGGUUUAACAAAUCUAACUUGCCUUCUCUUAUAAAUGGUAAAUUCGUUUGCAUUAGAAUUCAACCUUUUCUCAUGAAUGCCAAAAUGAGGUUUUGAUUCAUUUCUUUGAAAACAGUUUUGUUUCUUGUGUUGAAGCAACUCAUUAGGAUUAUCCAUUCUUAUUUUCAAAUCCCCUUGUUCCUUUUUGAGCAUCUCACAAAGCUUUAUUUUUCUAUCAAACUCAAAGAGUAAAACAGUCUCAUUCUUUUUGAAGUAGUCAUUUUCAACUUUCAACUUUUUAUUUUGUUGAAAAAGAUUUGCAUUGUCUUGAAACAAAAAACUAAUUUUCUGUUUUAGUUCCUUGUUUCUAGCAUAAGAUUUUUUCAAACUAUCAUGCAAUCUCUCAAUCAAAGAUUCAAUAUUAUCACUAACAGGUUGAGAAUUGCAAGUAGUUACCUCAUCAUCACCGAUAGCCAUGAAAGUCAUUUGAACAGAUUCUUCUUCCUCUUCAACAUCACCAUCCGAGUUGCAAUCAUUGCAUGUGAUUUGAAAAUUGUUGAACUUUAGUUUUCAUUCAACUUUUCCUUCUUUCUUCUUUUUCAUUGGGCACUCACUCAUGUAGUGUCCAAGUUUGCCGCACUCAAAGCAUUUAUCAGCUUAUUUUUUAUUGGCCUCUUGCUUUCCUUUGUUUCUUGUAUUGUUGAACUGAUUUGGAAAUGAAUUACUAGGUCUUCCUUUUCUAAAUCUCCUUUUGUUGAGGAUUCUUUUGAAGUUUCUUAUGAUGAGAUCAAUAUCAUUGUCAUCAACUUCCACAUCUUCUCCAUCCAAGAAAAUCGAAUCAUCUUCAUCUUGAGAAGUUUUUAGAGCAAUGCUCCUUCUCACUUUUGCAUCCUCUUUCUCUUGCACCUUAGUCUUAAGUUUUAGCUCAUAAGAGGUUAGAGAAUUAACAAGAGAUUCAAUAGGCAUAGAAUUUAAAUCUUUAGUCUCUUCAAUGGCAGUCGCCUUACUUUCCCAAUUCUUGGACAGGACAUUCAAAAUUUUUCUAUUUUUCUCACCUAGGGAGUAUUUUUUUUCAUACUUGGUAACUAGAAUUGAUUUCUUUUGUUCUCUCACAUUUUCACUUCCUUCAUGAAUUUCUCUCAAUUUAUCUCAAAUUUCUUUAGUGGACCUACAGUUUUUGACUCUAAUAGACUCAUUUGAAUCUAAAACACUAUACAACACAUUCAUAGCCUCGGUAUUCAAAGUGAGGUGGGUUCUAUUUUCACCAGUCAAUUCAUUUCUGAUUUUUUGUCUUGGUCUGUGAGUAACUUCAUCUAUUAUAGAGGCAUCAUAUGAACCUUCAUUAACAACAAAUCACAGUUCAAUAUAAAUAGAUUGCAAGAAAAUAAUCAUUCUUUCCUUCCAACUCACACAAUUGGAUCCAUUAAACAUUGGUCUACUAAUAGAUUGUCCUUCAAAAAAUAUAGUAUUGUUGGUUGUCAUUUUACUCCAAAUCUGUUUGAACUUAAUUUCUAGGAGACCAAAUUCUGAUACCAAUUGUAAAGAUUGAACACAACCUAAGAAGGGGGUGAAUUAGGUAAAUUAAAAAACUAAUCAGGUUAUGAGACACUUUUUGGCUCAAUAUGAAAUUUACCCUCUUUUCUAGAUGACCACUCAAUGGAACAGUUAACAAGAAAGCAAGAUUGCUUGUUAGUAGAAGAGAUGAGCAAUUUAUAUUUGCAAGACAGUAAGUAAUAGGAAAAGAAUAGCAAACUAAAUUCUCAACUCCUCUUGAGCUUGAAUGUUACUUUAUAGAGCAAGUUUUUUCAAGUUGAUCAAAUGCAACCAAUCUUUAUGUACAAAGGAAGGAUCACUUCCUCCUUACCCCAAACCACACUUGGUCAAGUUAGGAAAUUUUACUAUCACUCGGAUAACCCUCACAAAGCUACACUAUUGAAGUAUUUUUCUCACACAAGAAAAGUUUAUACGAAAUUCACACAACUAAGAGUACAAAUCUUCUUUGAAGAGAAUUUUCUCACUAAAAUUACUCUAGAACUUUUGUAGUCUCAAUGUGUAAAAGUACUUUGAAGUAGUUGACCAUGCUCUAUUUAUAUGAGACCAAAAAGUUCCUCUAUUAAUACUUCCAACGGAUAGAAGGCAGCUGAAGAGUCAACUAGCCAUUGGUAGUGUCGGACGUCCGGUAGUCUUGUUUCUUACGUCCGACAGUAGGCAGUGAGGUUGAGAGAUUUUCUUCAAUUCUUUCGGAUGUCUGGUACCUUCAAUGUUUGUGUCCGAAAGUAGAUAGUGAAACUGAGAGAUCUUCUUCAAGCCUUUCAGACGUCCAAUACCUCCAAUAUUUUGCAUCCGAAGUGCCGCAUUAUUUAUCGGACGUCCGGUGCUCUUAUAUUUUGCGUCCGAUCGAGGUCAAUGACCUUAGAGGAAAUGUUUUAAUUCUUUGGGAGGUCCAGUGGUGAGUUCAUCAUGCGUCCGAAGUUGCGUAAUGAUUAUCGGACGUCCGAUCCAAUCUUCACAAGCGUCCGACAGCUUUCAGUACCCUUUGUCUCUUUCAAUUGUACUUAAUCUUUGAAUCUGAUUUGCUUCAUGACUGAAAAGAUCUUUGAGCAGAUAUUAGUAAUAUCCAUUUGUUUGGUAAACAUCAAAAGCUAGGGACUAAGAUUAACAAAAAGUACUUCUUGGAGAAUUUCACUAGUUUAUACUCAAACAUUUGGAAUCUUUAGUUUUAACAUUUACUAUGGAAAUUAGUGGAGUUUUGAUGAAUUCUAACUCCAUUAGUUUAGAAAAUGUGAACGUUCCUUAUAUUUUUAAAACUUGGACGUAGGACUAGAAGUUUUGAAAGAUGAAACCAUUUUUUUCUCGAUUUUUGUGCCAAAAGUGUAUAUAAUAUUUUUUUUUGGAAUUGAAAUUUCUUGUCACGACUUGAAUUGAAAACAACCUUUGAGUUCUCUUUGAGUAUUAUUUCAAUGAUUUAGUGAGAAAAGCUCCUUUAACUUGACUCGACUUGUGACCUUGAGAGUGGGUAGCAAGAAAAUAUUUUUCUUUAUAACCUUGGUCGAGUACCUAGGUAAUAAUGAUUGUGCAUAUCUCAGGUGGUCGCGAGGACGCCGAAGAGCUCAUCUGACUUCUCGCUUUGCUCUUGUUUUCCCUUGACUUUUGAUGAGUGUCAAGUGCAUGACUUGUUGCAUAAUACUUGAACUACUUCUUGUUGAAUAUGUGAAUUGGACUUGUCGAGAUGAGUGUGUACUUUAUCGCACUCGUUCUCUUUUACUUGACUUGAUAAUUGACCUGCUCGUACUUGACAAUUAUACUUGUGAUUGACUUGGCGUCGAUUUGAAAGCAAUCUCAUCGACUUAUACUUGAACUUGUGGGGACGCCCAAAACUAAUGGCUAGCCAUUCAACUCAAGCCAGCAAUGGUUUGGUUGAGGAGUUUGGUGAACCUUAGACAUACACUUGACUUGGAUAUACUCGAUUAAUAUCAAAAACUUAUUUGACAUUCGGGCCAGUAGGGGGUGUAAUGGUGGACAAAAAUUUGGUGAAAAGUGGGGCUCUACGGACUUGAUACUUGCUCGGUUGACGGAGUGUCAACACUUGAAAUUUUGGAUCAAGACCUUCGCAAAGCAGUGUGGAGUUAGCUCCUGAGAGCUUCCGUAUCCUUUAAUGAUUGUGUCUUGUUUUCUUUUGUGAAUUUCAUGAAUAUUAUGACUGCCUUUCUUUUAUAAGUUUAAUACUUGUUGUACUUGCUUGCUCGCCGAUUUUUUGUUCCUUGGCCUCACUGAGCGUUAGUUCAUCCCUUUAAGUUUGUUUUCUUUAACAGGGUUUGGAGGUGGAAAUUGGAGGUUCUAGACUAGCGACUUUUGGUGGAAACUAAUAUACCUUUUGUAUGUUAUUGGAGAUUCUUAAAGUGUAAAUUCUGUUAUUUUUGGGUAUGGUGGAUUGUAAUUGUAAUUGCUAGCCUUAGAAGUUGUGGCUUAUAUAUUCGAAGUACUUCUUAUUUAAGUCGAUGGUUGACUUGUGGUUUUUUAUUAAACUUGAAUGAGUGCGUGAGUCCUGGUGAGAGUUAGGUAGGCGGCCCACCAAAACCCUAGGAUUUGCCCUAAGAAGAAGUGGGGUCAUCACACCUUGUAACUACAAAAUGACCCUUACUGAUUUCAUUAAAUUAUUUAUGUUUUUGUUGGAAAAAUGUAGAAUGACUAAGCAUAAACAUCUUUAUUUUAGUGACCACAUAUUACUUGUGCUUUUAUCACUAGUUAGAAUAAGACCAGUGAUUAAAAGAAAAAAAAAG
rnacentral:lncRNA from 1 species